rnacentral:rRNA from 1 species
GACGAACGCUGGCGGCGUGCUUAACACAUGCAAGUCGAACGGUGAAGCGCCUUCCUUUUUGGUGGGUGUGGAUGAGUGGCGAACGGGUGAGUAACACGUGAGUAACCUGCCCCCUUCUUCUGGAUAACCGCAUGAAAGUGUGGCUAAUACGGGAUAUUCUGGGUCUGUCGCAUGAUGGGUCUGGGAAAGAUAUUGUUUCGGUGGGGGAUGGGCUCGCGGCCUAUCAGCUUGUUGGUGGGGUGAUGGCCUACCAAGGCGGUGACGGGUAGCCGGCCUGAGAGGGUGGACGGUCACACUGGGACUGAGACACGGCCCAGACUACUACGGGAGGCAGCAGUGGGGAAUAUUGCACAAUGGGCGCAAGCCUGAUGCAGCGACGCCGCGUGAGGGAUGGAGGCCUGCGGGUUGUGAACCUCUUUCGCCAGUGAAGCAGGCCUGCCUCGUUUGUGGGUGGGUUGACGGUAGCUGGAUAAGAAGCGCCGGCUAACUACGUG